rnacentral:rRNA from 1 species
UGGGGAAUAUUGCGCAAUGGGGGAAACCCUGACGCAGCGACGCCGCGUGUGGGAUGAAGGUCUUCGGAUUGUAAACCACUGUCGCGAGGGACGAAGCUCUGACGGUACCUCGAAAGGAAGCACCGGCUAACUCUGUGCCAGCAGCCGCGGUAAUACAGAGGGUGCGAGCGUUGUCCGGAAUCACUGGGCGUAAAGGGCGCGUAGGCGGCCCGGUAAGUAGGGGGUGAAAUCUCGUGGCUCAACUGUGAGGCUGCCUUCUAGACUGCCAGGCUUGAGCACAGUAGAGGCGAGUGGAAUUCCCGGUGUAGCGGUGGAAUGCGUAGAGAUCGGGAAGAACAUCGGUGGCGAAGGCGGCUCGCUGGGCUGUUGCUGACGCUGAGGCGCGAAAGCGUGGGGAGCAAACAGGAUUAGAUACCCAUGUAGUCCCUGAGCGGGCUGGCAAGGCGCAU